UACAAAGCUGCAUGGCUCGCAAGUUGAUAUAUUUUAUCAAAAUUCAAUUGACUCAUUGCCUCUUUGUCAAAUAUAGCAUCUGAUAGAACAACUGCUGAUGCAAUUAUUCUUCGGAUAAGGGUUAUAUUUAUUCUUCUACUAUCGAAAAUAAGUUAUAUCUACCUUCCGUUUCAGUUUCUUAUUAAAAAUAACCUUACCGUUGUACUCUGGGAUUAAAAUUAACCCCCAUACAUUAAAUUGCUCUUCAAAACUUAAAAAUCACACGUAGCAUCAUCUGAUUGAAGGUAAAAGAUCAACCCCACCUUCCAUUUUAAACAACCCGACCCAACCAAAUAACCCGCUCCGCCCGAAACCCCUCACCUUUUGUUGGAUAAUAGAGCUUUUUAUUUUGUACAUAAUCAAAUUUAUUUUAUUAUUGGGUUGUAUAUUUUGUGUAGUCCAGUCUUUGUAUUAAUAGGUAGCUCAAUAAUUCAUUUUUAGUUUUGGCCCAGGCCCAAUUGUAAAGAUCCGGUCCAAAUAUAAAUAGAAGAGCUCUAAGUCUAGAAGCUUCAGAUGCUCAUUUUACAAUUGCACGAGAUAUUUUCCUUUCCUCUUUCUCUCAGAUUCUCCCUCCUCUCACUAGCAACUAAAUCGAUCACAAUGAUUUUAAUAUGGUAUCAAAGCAGUGUAGCUGGAUAAUUCUGAGCAUAUCGUCGACUUUUUUUUUUUGGCGAAAACUGUUCGUGUUGUGUUCGCCAAAGUUUCGCUGGAGUUCGGUAUUUCUUCGACAAGUUUCUUUCAAUUUCUUCUAAUUCUAGCAACUACUCUGGAUUUGCUUCAGUUUUUUUUUUCAUUGAAAAUUGCUUCACUUCUGUUGUAUUGUCGGUGAAUUACAAAAACCCUAAAUUUACUCUUAGUCAUGGGUACAUUGAUUUCUGAUAUGUCGGUUCCGAAUUCUUCUGGUCAAUCUGGUUCUGAUAACUCAUCGAAUGAUACAAUUAACCAUAAUCAUCCUCUUUACAUUCAUCCAUCGGAUAAUUUGGGGCUUUCACUAAUAGGUACCGUUUUUGAUGGGACUGGGUAUAGCGAUUGGCGUAGGAGCAUGCUUAUUGCUCUCUCUGUUAAGAACAAACUAUACUUCAUUCAACCCGAUUGUGUGUGACCUCCUCCAAAUUCCCCUAUUUUUCGUUAAUGGGAUAGAUGUAAUAACAUCUUGAUUUCAUGGAUUCACAAUCUUCUCACUCCAGUCAUUCGUAAGAGUGUUCUGUAUUGUCAACUUGCCAAGGAUGUGUGGAUGGAAUUGGAAGACAUAUAUGGACAACCGAGUGGAAUUAGGGUUUAUCAAGUCAAAAAGGAGCUCGCUUCUAUUUCUCAGGGUUCUAUGAACAUUCCUGAAUAUUAUGCAAGGAUGAAGAGUGUUUGGGAUGAGCUCAGUACUUUGAAUGUUUACUCUGAUUCUCAUUGCACUUGUGGGGGGUGGCAAACUAGACAUUCAAAAACGUGAAGAGGACCAGAAAUUGUACCAAUUUUUAAUGGGCUUGAAUGAAGGUUAUGCUAAUGCCAGAAGAAAUUUACUUAUGAUGAGUCCUUUCCCCACAAUCAACAAAGCUUAUUCUCUUCUGGUCACUGAUGAAAGACAAAGAGAAAUUCAACCCUCUUCUUCUUAAUUUAGCUUCAGAGUCUGCUUCCUUCUCGGCGGGGUCUUAAAAAUCUUUUCAAAAGCCCUUUCAGAAGAGUUUCCAACCUAAAACCAGUUUUGAUCCGAGGAGGCCUAGUGUUGUCUGUAGCCAUUGCAAUAAGCCUGGUCAUACAGUGGAGAGAUGUUAUAAGAAACAUGGCUUUCCCCCGAAUUUUCAGUUCACUAGGAAUAAUCGAAGGACUGCUGCAAAUGUUCAAACUGAAUUGGAGCCUCCUAAACAAUUUGCUCAUCCUGAACCUGAGCCAUUCAAUGAGACACCACCUAUCAAUGCUGGAGAUAAUUCGACUAUUCCAGGGUUGACAAACGAGCAAUGUAGCCAGCUACUCACACUACUUCAACAACAUCAUGUGUGAAUGCAUUUAGGUCUAUGAUUCACAACAAUAUGAUGGUGGGUGCAUUCUCUCAUUCAACUGUUGUAGGGAAGCUCCGUAAAGACUUACCAGAUGUUCCUGCAGAUGCUCGCAUCAACUUCCCACGAUAUAGUGUGGAUGAAGCUGCGGCUGUUUGUCAUUACUACCUUAGACAAAGACUCAUCCAACGUGAGGCGUUUACAGAAGAAAACUGGAAGAAAAUCUAUUAUCUGUCACAUGGAAAUGGCGCAGAAAUGAGAUGGCUGGUUCCUUUCAUGCGAUGAGCAGCGCAAACUCAACUUCAAGAGAUAACAUUGAAAUUUUAACAGGGAAAUUAUUGAAUCUGUUGAUGCUCUGCGAUUCUGGUCAUUCUCAGCAAAUAAUGCUGCUCUGACCCAAUUCCCCUGGAGAAAACAGUGAGGUUUACUUCUGGAAAUUUUGCUCUGUACUCUAGGCUAAUUAUAUAGCUUGUGUUUGUAUGCUUUCAUAUCCAGAACAUUGUCACAGAUUCAUAUAUACAUCUUCACACUAGCUAUUCUUCUUUCGUUUUCUUUUAGGACUUGUUUUCCUGAUCUGGUGUUUAUACUCAAUAAUGUUGUAACUGCACCACAUAUUUUACCGUCUGAAGUUCAGGUUU